UCGGAUCCCCUGUCCCCACUACCCUAUCCCACUCUGUGUCCCAAACCAAAUACUAUGUCGUUUUGCCCAUAAUAAGUGCGCCCCUUUUUCAUUAAACAAAAUAUGCUGAUAAUCAAAUAAUAAUCCAACUCAUCGGUUAAGCACAGCUCAGCUCGUUCAAGCCGUGAUCUUCAUCUUUCUCUUUUCUUCUCCAACGCGAAUCUUUAUCUUUCUCUUUCCUUUAAUCUGAAUUCAUAUCCGAUUUCUUUGGAAAAUUUGUAUCUCCAUCGAAAAAUAGGGAUUUCAUCCGCAUCACAUGAUUUGGCUAUGGAUAUUCAUCAUCAAUCUCUUUGGUCCAUCGUUUGUUCUUCUUCUUCGCAAACUUCCAUAAUCAAUUUUCAGUGCUUUAUUCUGCCAUAAGAGUCAAUUUACUGUGGGGAAGAGUGAAUAUGUCCCCCACACUUCUUGUUGGAAGAAUAAUAGCAGAGAAAAGUUUGUGAAGAUGAAAAUUGAAACAAAACGAAGACUGAUUUUGGAUGAAGAAAAAUUGAAGUAAAUCCCAUGUAGAUGAUGAAAUUCUCUCGACGAUUUUGUGGAGACAGAAUUUUUUUUAAAUGAAAAGAUAUGAGUUUGAUCUGGUAUAGGAAAGAGAAAGAUGAUUUGCGGCUCAAACUGGGCUGAUUAUCUACAGAUUUUGAAAAUUAAAAGUGGGUGAAAAUAUUAUAUACAAAACGACGUAGUAUUGAUUUUGGGACAUGGAGUGGUACACGAAUUGGGGACAGGGGAUCCGAACUGGUUAAUCAUUUAAGAGGGAAGUAGCUACAAUUUUAGAAAUAGGCAAAUAAAAUUAUAGUAUUUUGUAUUUAAGAAUUUUAGACGAAUGAAAUUAUAAUUAUAUAUAUUGAAAAAAGUAGAAAACACAAUAUAAGUAAUUAAAAUAAUAAUUUACCUGCAGGAUGAUUGGCAAGUCGAGCCUGGGCCUGGG
rnacentral:lncRNA from 1 species